UACGGAGGGUGCAAGCGUUAUCCGGAUUUAUUGGGUUUAAAGGGUCCGUAGGCGGACUUAUAAGUCAGUGGUGAAAGCCUGUCGCUUAACGAUAGAACUGCCAUUGAUACUGUAAGUCUUGAGUAUAUUUGAGGUAGCUGGAAUAAGUAGUGUAGCGGUGAAAUGCAUAGAUAUUACUUAGAACACCAAUUGCGAAGGCA
rnacentral:rRNA from 1 species